rnacentral:rRNA from 1 species
CUUAAAUUGAAGAGUUUGAUCAUGGCUCAGAUUGAACGCUGGCGGCAGGCCUAACACAUGCAAGUCGAUCGGAAACGAGUUGUC